UACGGAGGGUGCAAGCGUUAUCCGGAUUCACUGGGUUUAAAGGGUGCGUAGGUGGGUUGAUAAGUCAGUGGUGAAAUCCCCGAGCUUAACUUGGGAACUGCCAUUGAUACUAUUGAUCUUGAAUACCGUGGAGGUCAGCGGAAUAUGUCAUGUAGCGGUGAAAUGCUUAGAUAUGACAUAGAACACCAAUUGCGAAGGCAGCUGGCUACGCGAAUAUUGACACUGAUGCACGAAAGCCAGGGGAGCGAACGGG
rnacentral:rRNA from 1 species